AGCAGUGUGGCUUAGUGGAAAGAGCACUGGCUUGGGAGUCAGAGGUUGUGGGUUCUAAUCCUGCCUUCUCCA
rnacentral:tRNA from 1 species